AUGUUGGUAGCUCAGUGGUGGAGUGCGUGCUUUGUAUGUCGGAUGUCCUGGGUUCAAUCCCCAGCUUCUCUC